GCAGUGGUUCUUUCAAGUAGCAGCUGCUUCCACCAGUUGCUGUGGUCAAAAAGGAACACAAAGUGACAUUUUCCCUUGAUGGUCUCCAUUCUAUUUAAAUGAUCUGCAAUAAUUCAAGAAAAUUCCCAA
rfam:Erinaceus europaeus unplaced genomic scaffold scaffold00306, whole genome shotgun sequence